rnacentral:rRNA from 1 species
UACGGGGGGGGCAAGCGUUGUUCGGAAUUACUGGGCGUAAAGGGCGCGUAGGCGGCCCGCUUAGUCGGACGUGAAAUCCCUCGGCUCAACCGAGGAACUGCGUCCGAUACUGGCGGGCUCGAAUCCGGGAGAGGGAUGUGGAAUUCCAGGUGUAGCGGUGAAAUGCGUAGAUAUCUGGAGGAACACCGGUGGCGAAGGCGACAUCCUGGACCGGUAUUGACGCUGAGGCGCGAAAGCCAGGGGAGCAAACGGG